CAGCAGUACAAUACCAUGCUCUUAAUUUUGCUUUGAGAUGUAGAACUGUUUUUAGAGUAAUUUAUGCCAGAGACGGCCUAUUCCUUAAUGCUGGGGUUAUGGAAUUUCAUCAGAAAACAUACUCUUUGUCUUAGGACUUUUCUAACUGCAUACUCUAACUUCUGGUUUCCAAAUAGUGUGUUGGCUCUGUAGGUUUCCUAGCAGAAGACACAUCUGGAACAUGCAGCACAGUUUGGAAAGACUGAAUAAAGCUUGAGACAUUGAUUGCCAAGGCUGGCCACUGUAGGGACACCUGCAGAUGUCUGCUUUCAAUGUGAUUUUGACCUGGACCCUGGCUUGAGGUAAAGAAGCACUGCUGUCUGAGUCUUCUGCUGAGUGUUACCAUCAUGUUGGCAGCGUGACUGCAACCUGCCUGCAGGAAGCAAUGGCAGCUACAUGGAAUAUCCUUCAUUCUAUUAGCUGGCCUACUGUGACAGUAAGAAUUUUCAUACUGAUGAAAUAUGACCUUCUACCGACCAUCAGUUCUGGAUAUGGAGACAAUUUGGAAUGGAGAUACCAUUUACUCACCUGAAACAACAGUGGCAGAAGUGGUAGUGUCUGCAUGGAUCACCUUUGGCAAAAUGGCCUCAGUAACAACAGCUGGUAAGAUAAAAGCGAGAAUAUAAACAGCGAAUGGGAAUGGAGAACCCAAAGCUGGAUCAAAAUACAAUUGUCCCAAAUGGCUGUUUAAGAGAGGAAGACAAGAAUCAGCUAGAUUCAUAACCAGGU
rnacentral:lncRNA from 1 species